GACGAACGCUGGCGGCGUGCUUAACACAUGCAAGUCGAGCGGUAAGGCCCUUUCGGGGGUACACGAGCGGCGAACGGGUGAGUAACACGUGGGUGACCUGCCCUCAGCUCUGGGAUAAGCCUGGGAAACCGGGUCUAAUACUGGAUAUGACUCCAUGACGCAUGUUGUGGGGUGGAAAGCCUUGUGCGGCUGAGGAUGGGCCCGCGGCCUAUCAGCUUGUUGGUGGGGUGAUGGCCUACCAAGGCGACGACGGGUAGCCGGCCUGAGAGGGCGACCGGCCACACUGGGACUGAGACACGGCCCAGACUCCUACGGGAGGCAGCAGUGGGGAAUCUUGCGCAAUGGGCGAAAGCCUGACGCAGCGACGCCGCGUGCGGGAAGAAGGCCUCGG
rnacentral:rRNA from 1 species